rnacentral:rRNA from 1 species
AACGAGACCUUAACCUGCUAAAUAGCCCGUAUCGCUCCGGCGGUACGCUGGCUUCUUAGAGGGACUAUCGGCUCAAGCCGAUGGAAGUUUGAGGCAAUAACAGGUUAACUCACAGGCCUGUCACAGUGGUCCUCAUUAAAAUAUCCGCUAGUCGAACGUCUUGACCUCUGCGAGGAAAGCCCUCGUUAUCGGGCAGAGGAGCGUGGAAUACGCUUGACGUCGGCAACACUACCUGGUACAGGGAACGCCU